UACAGAGGUCUCAAGCGUUGUUCGGAUUCAUUGGGCGUAAAGGGUGCGUAGGUGGCGCCGUAAGUCGGGUGUGAAAUUUCGGAGCUUAACUCCGAAACUGCAUUCGAUACUGCGGUGCUUGAGGACUGGAGAGGAGACUGGAAUUCAUGGUGUAGCAGUGAAAUGCGUAGAGAUCAUAAGGAAGACCAGUGGCGAAGGCGGAUCUCUGGACAGUUCCUGACGCUGAGGCGCGAAGGCCAGGGGAGCAAACGGG
rnacentral:rRNA from 1 species